rnacentral:lncRNA from 1 species
CUGAUGAAACACCGUGUUGAGAAAUCCGAAAUCUCUAUCGAUGGUAGCCAUGGAUCCCUUUAGCCAUUCCCACUCGGAGUGAUCAUAGUAAGUUACGAGAGGGUUCGUGUGUUGAAGUACGGCCACUAUGAUAAGCAUAGCAUUUGUGAAUAGGUAUGGACCUCCGUAGAUGAAAGCGACCCAUGCGAACCCUUUUAGCAAAGCAAGUUUGUACAGUGCAAAGAUGACGGCCAAACACCCAGCAUCGGAAAGCAGGACAUGAGCGCGUUGCUUGUAUGAAAACAUUGGACUAUACGGAUCAAAAUGGGAGGCGAAUCGAUCGUAAAUUCGACCACGGAAGUUGACAAGAAGGUAUAGAGGCACGGCAACAACUAGAACAGCACCAACAACAAAGAAUUUCGCCACAGGGUUUUUGAGGUAUCUGAACAUCAAGGGAACUUGGGACUUGAGCAGUGGGAUAUCAAAUUCCUCUUCUUCUAGGGAUCCAGUUCUCGAGUGAUGGCGAUGGUGGCUGUACUUAAAUGAAAAGUAAGGAAACAGAACGACAGAGUGGGUGAUGAAUCCGACUGUGUCGUCGAGCCAUUGGUACUCACUGAAAGCGUUGUGUCCGCAUUCGUGACCUAUGACCCAAAAUCGGGCUAGUAUACAGCCUUGAAGCAAUGAAUAUAUGAUCCCAGAAGUAACAAGAUAGAGUUUAGAAGACUGAAUCAAUUCAGAGGUUAAGAUAUAGUUUGCGGCGAUGUGGUAAAGAGAGAAUAAGAUGACGACAUCUAAGACAAGGUAUGACAAAGAGCGAAUCGCCGAACGCUCAAAACAGUGAGGCGGAACUGCUUUCUUAACAUCACUUAAAGUGAAUGGAGGUUUAACGUAAGGAGAUCUUGAUGUUCUUUUGAUGGCAGUGUUCAACUUUUGCUCCAUGUUUCUGCAAGGAUUCAGAAUUAAUUAGCUUCUAAACACUUGAAAAUUAAAUACAGUUAACAUACAAUUUAGAGAUACAAGAAUAGUUUACCUUGCUCCAGUGCCUUGACUUGCGAAUCUUAAUUGUUGUGGCAAUUGUGUACAAAAUGGCUGGUAUAUAUAGGCACUUCGCACUUUCAAAUCCCCAGCCGGUCAAAGCCCCCUUUAUCCUAGUUGAAAUAUUAGGAGUGCCAUGUUCUAGAUGUCCUCGUAAGAAUAAAAAACAAUAAUCAAUACAUAAAAUUAUUUUCUCUAAUAUUUAACUUCCAAAUGGCAUUUCUUUAUGCAAGUAAAAUGUGUCCUAUUAUGAGGUGGCCAAUCAUAUUUUAGUCCUUGGUUUUCUACUGUUGAAACUUGAAAGUAUACAUACACAGGCGGCUUUUCACUCACGUAAGAGAGUAGGAGAACCUACUUACAACUAUACAAGCGAAACGUAAUUUUAAUUUAUGUGUUUAUAUAUUUUUCGAAAAGUAAUAAUUUAUAUUGUAUAAAUAUUUUAAUAAUAUAAUAAUAAAUUGAUUGUGUACGUAAUUGUAAAGUUUAAUUUUCAAAAAUGAAAAAGAAACGGAAAAAAAUUAAAAUUUGUAAUUUUUAAGAUUCUGACUUAUAAAUCAAAAUAUAAUUUAUAAUUUUUUUAUUGCACAAAUACUACGUACGAAUGAGCUUAAUACAGAAACUCGAGAAAUAAUCAAUACCCAAGUAUACAUGUAAAACAUACAUGUAGUAUCAUUUACAUGUGAUUGAUAUAAAAUAGGCUCAAUUAUAUCCUAUAAGAAACAAGGUUAAGAUUUAUUUUAUUUAAAAACAACAGACGCCUCUAUGAUUAACGGAAUAUUUGAGGGACUCGUUUCCUCGAAGGCAAGAUAGAAUUAAAUAUUCAAGCCAUCACUUAUAUGCCGAAUACCCACAGCAUAUGUGUGGAACAACGGACCGAGACAGAUGUGCAUCACGUUUUAUAUGGUUAAAUUAUCUGCACGCAUAUAAAUUAUCUUAAAUUAAGUGUAGCAUGUGUUGUUUUAGACUUAAAAGAACAACAAAUCACAAGGAUCACGGUAUACGAACUACACUAAAUGUAAAAUACUUGUCAUCUAUUUUAAGCCUAGCUAAUAGACCCUAUCUUUCGACUGGUCUCACGUAAUCCUAUGAUAGUCAUAACUGGCAACGGUAAUUUAAUGAUAUUGGAAUACAGAUUAGAUAGAAAAAUAAUAUAUAUAUAUAUAUAUAUAUAUAUAUAUAUAGGAGGAAGAUCCUAAGAAAACCUAGCUUAUCAGAAAACCCAGCUUAUCAAGAAAACCGAGAAACCCACUUAAUCACCGUUGAUUUUAUAAUCAUAAUAUAUAUUUUAAUUUAUCAAAAGAUCAAUCAAAUCUAAUUCAUAAGGGAUAUUAUGGUAAUAUUCUACAUAUAUUUAAUGCAUUCAAUCAGUAAUAUAUUUAAUGCAUUUAAUCAGUACAUUCAAUAAAGAUUUGCAAUUAAUUGAUUUCCUUUUUUAUAUUAUUCAUAUCUCAAUCAAUCAAUCAGUAUUAAAUUUGAAUUUCAAAUUUCAAAAGAUUCACCUUGCUAAAAACUGAUCGAAUAUCUUAGAGAAUCUUGUUUAUAUAUUUUGCGUUAUCUUGUGUAUGAUAAUAAAUCUCUUACCAUUGUUAUAACGGAUCAUCUAAUAAUUUUUUUUAUUACGGUCUUUUAAGUGUUUUACUAAUAAAUAUAAUAUUUUCCUAAGAUUCUCUUAAGUGCUCUAUUAAUUUAAAAUAAUUUUUUUCCCAGGAUUCUUUCAAGUGUUUUACUCAGUUAAAUAUAUUUACGAUUUUCUAAGAUUCUUUUAAGUGUUUUACUAAUUUAAAUUGAAUAUUUAAAAUAAUUUUUUUCUAAGAUUCUUUCAAGUGUUUUACUCAUUUAAAUCUAUUUAAGAUUUUUCUGAGAUUCUUUUAAGUGUUUUACUAAUUUAAAUUGAAUAUUUUUUUAAGAUUUUCAUAAGUUUUUUACUAAUUUAAAAAUAUUUAAGAUUUUUCAAGAUUCUCUUAAGUGUUUUAUUGAUUUAAAAUUAUUUAAGAUUUUCUAUGAUUCUCUUAAGUGCUCUAAUAAUUUAAAAUAAAUUUUUUUCUAAGAUUUUCUAAGAUUCUUUUAAGUGCUCUAAUUGGAAUCUUGAAAUGUUAUAAUAUUAAUAUUACAUAUUAAUUAAAAAUUGCAUACAAUGACUUAAGUUCUUUAAUUAUCUUUUUCUUUAAAUAUAAAAUUUAAAUAUUGAAACAAUACUUUAGAGAACCCUCAUUUGAAAAAUAUUUGAACGGGUAUCGUAAAGAAUCUAGUAGGUGUAUAAGUGAACAUCUACUAGAAUCUCAACAUACUGUUAUGAGAUUGAUGAUGUAAGUAAAAUUAUAACUAAAUUGGAAGUUGUUAUGUGUUCGGUUUGUUGAUGAUAUAUGAUUUAUUAUGUGCACUUUUUAAAUAAAUCAUAAUUUAAAUUAACACAUUUUAUUUAAUUAAGUGAUAAGUAUUAAGAUUCUAAUAAUUAAUAUUAAAAAUUUAUAAAAAAAUUGUAUACAAUGACUUAAGUUCUUUAAUUAUUUUUUACUUUUAAUAUAAAAUUUAAAUAUUGAAAAAACAUUUUGAAGAACCUUCAUUUGAAAAAUAUUUGAACGGGUAUUGUAAGAAAUCUCUUCAUUUACUAUAUAUUAUAAUAGUUGUUUUAAUUCAACUUUGUAAAUAAAUUUUUUAAAAAUUCUACCUUAUAUUAUUCUAUUAUAUUUGAGCGAAUAUUUUAAAGUAAUAUAAAUUUAUUAUAAUAUCAGUUUAAAGAUUCUACUAUAUAUUAUUCUACAAAUUUGAGUGAAUGUUUAUUGGACUCUCAUGAUAUUAUAAUAUGUCAAUUCAAUUAAGUGUUCAAGUGUAUUUUAAUAUUUGUUAUUUUGUUAUACAAGCGAACAUUUUAAAGAAUCUCCAUAUCAAAAAAUGGUAUCUUUAAUAAAAUCAUAAUCUAAUUAUACUUUCUAAUAUAUCAUAAAACUAAUUAGUAAUUAAAUGUUAAUUUAAUCGUUGAGCAAAAAAUUUGAUAAUGAAAUAUUUUAGAGUGAUGUAUAGAUGAACAUCUACUAGAAUCUCAAUAUUCAAUUCAACAUACUAUAAUGAGAUUGAUUUAAGUAAAAUUAUAACUACACUUGAAGUUAUUAGGUGUUCGUUUGUCGAUCAUAUAUGAUUUUAUUAUGUGUUCUUUUUAAACUAUUCAAUCAACUAAAUUUCAAAAAAUUUAAUUUUAAACACCUAACAUAAUCGUAAGAAAUGUAUUAUUAGAAACAUAUUUUUUAUAAUCAAGUAGAAUGAAUUUAAAAAAAAAAACAUAACGUUAAUGGUAUAGCGGCACCUUGUAUAUAUGAAUUUUAUCAGAAAAAAAGAAUGUGCAAAGAGAGAACUUCUUUCAAAAAAUCACAAAGAACACACUCAAAUAAGGAACAUCUACUACAAACUAACAAAGAAUACAAAUAUAAAUUCUCCAUUAUUGGAGAAAAUAAAAAAAAUCUAAACAAAACUAGACAAAUAAAACAAAUCAGCCCCCCGCCUCUACCAAACAAAACUUACCAACAAAUAAAGGAAUUCUUAGAAUAUGUACUGGAACCUUGUGUUGUUCUGUAAAACAACUCUGAUUAGAAUACUGAACAUAAUAUUGAUUAGAAUUCUUACAAAGAUCUAAACUGAAUGCAUUAGUAAUGAACACCAACUGAAGCAUGUGCGAAAUACAACUAUACACACAAUAUCAACUUCAACAAUCAACUAUACUAUAAUGAAUCUCUUAUAGAACACUAACCAAACAAGGAGAAUCUUCAAACUUAAGAAUAUGACAGAAUCUUCAAAUUGAGAUAAGGUGUUCUGGAUCCCUGAUUAGAAUAUUGGUGAGGACAAUAAGAAAGUUCAAUCUAAAUUUCAAGCCAACAUCCGUAUACUCUCUAUUGUAAGAAUUCUCAAACAUUAACUCCCCGUUCGGCAAACCAAGUACAUUCUAGACAUCAUCUUCUUAAAAGUUUAUAAUAUUCUCACCAAUUGAAAUUGUUGAAUCGAUUGGUUUGUACGACUUUGGAAUCGAAAAACUCAGAAGUUGAGGGUAUUCCAUGAUGUUGAAAAGUAGAAGCUUUUCGAAUCCGAUUUCCACAACCCAUUGUCUUUUGUGCAUCGGAAAGAUUCCCCACGAUUCUCUUUUAAGAAAAUAGGUUUUACUCGUACCAACAAAUGACCGGUGUUCUUAUGGAGAUUCUUCUCCGCCAUUAUAUCUCUGAAAAGGAUUAUAUGGUUCUAGAGAUUAUACAAAAGUCAUAACAGAUAAAUUUUAUGAAAAAGUUUUAAGAUCCAUGAGGAGGAUACGUGGUACAAACCUUCAAACGAUGAAUCAUGGUGUUUUCAACCACGGCGGUCUCUUUCUUACAAUUGCAGAGAUUCUUAUUAGAGGAUAAUAUAUGUAUGUAAUGAUUCUAGAUUAUUUGUGUGCUUUGAUUGGAUUUUAUUAGAUGCCAAAAAUAGAAGAUUUUUAAUUAAUCAAUGACAGAUUCUUUACAAUUUUGCCCCCGUGUGUGUUAGAUUAUAGAUAUAUUUGAUUGAUUUUAAUUUUAGAAAUAGUUAUAUAUGAGAAAAAUAAUCAACGGUAUCUAAGAGGGUUCCUCGGUUUUCUUGAUAAGAGAGUUUUCUCUGGAACCUCACUCGAUAUAUAUAUAUAUACUUGUAUAUAUAUAUUGGCGCAAGAUGACUAUUCAAGUAACCAUGGUUAGUUUAUGAAAGCCUAUAAAUAUGUGAUUGUGGUUCUCACAAUUAACAUCAUCCUUCGGGAUGGAUGAGGGUCAGGUUCCAGACAGAACCGCUUAAACUUAGAACCUUAGAACCACAUUAAUAGUCAUUAAAUGAAAGUAAUUUUAAUGUAUGAAAUUAAACAUAUGAAUUGUUUUAAUAUGGUACAUAUUUAAAUAUACAUGCCUUCAAUUAAUGCACAUUCUUAAUUUAUAUUUGAUCAUUUUGCAAUAAAAAUACAUUCAAUAUUUAAUUCACAUAUCUCAGUAAAAUACAAAGAGUUCGAAUGUGUAUGUUUUGAUAUCUUAUUAUUAUUUAUAUGUACUGCUACAGAAUUUUGUAUUUUGUAAUAUUAUAUGAGCUAGAUAUGUACUGUACCAGAAUAUCGUGUUGUAUAAUAUUAUAUAAGCUAGAUAUGUACUGCAGCAGAAUCUUGUGUUUUGUAAUAUAUUUUAGUUAGAUAUGUACUACAACAUAAUCUUGUUUUUUGUAAUAUUACAUGUACUGCAGCAGAAUCUUGUGUUUUGUAAUAUAUUUUAGUUAGAUAUGUACUGCAACAACAUCUCAUUUUUGUAAUAUUACAUGUAUUGCAACAGAAUCUCGUGUUUUACAAUAUUAUAUUAUUAAAAUUGAUUGAGAAUCACAAGUUGUAGAUUUGAUUUGCAUUUAUAACAAAGUGCAUAUAUAUUAACUGAUUAUUAUAAUGAGUAGGUAGCAUUUAAUGAUUAUUAUGAUUUGUAAUAAUGAUUUACAUAUAAGAUAAGGUAUAUUAAAUAGUAUUAAGUUGUAAUUAAUAUAAUAUAGCUAGGCACAUCAUGACCAUUGAAUUCAUAUUGAUCUAAUGGAUGUGUGUGGUCCUAAGUUCUAAUUUUAAUAUUGGUUCUAAUUUGAACCUCACCCUUUAAAUUCUAUAUUUAUAUAUAACAAACAUUUAAUAACAUAUAACAUAUAUAUAUAUAUAUAUAUAUAUAUAUAUAUAAUAUUAGAAGUCCACUUACUUAAGAAUUAUAAUUUUCGCUCUAUUAUUAGUAUUUGGUUUAGCUUAGUCUUUUGAAAUGAACAGUUCAUUCUUUUAAAAAUGAUAUAGCACUCAUGAAUUAGCUGAAAUAUUAUAUACUUGUUGGGCCGCGCAACACCCGUCAACUCCGCAUUAGUAUGAUAUUGUCCGCUCUGGGCCGUGGCCAAGCCCGCACGGAUUUGCUUUCGGGCUCCUCCCAAAAGGUCUCAUACUAAUGGAGUUCUUUGGCUGCUUAUAUUCAAGAUAAAUCUUCUUUAUCUUUCCGAUGUGGGACUUGGGUUGAACCCACUCAACAAUCUCCCCUCAAUCCAAGAACCACCAAUCUUGUGACCCUUAUACCGCCGCUCCUCAUCGGUUCCUCAUCUUGCGGGACACGCCGUCCGACCACCUUUGUCGGAAAGACUUUCGACACAAGCCGUCCAAGACCUCCAAUCGCAGUUCUGGAGAGCCUCCCCCACAUGACACAACUACAGCCCGCAACCCCGGGAUCAACUUAUGAACCUCGCUCUGAUACCACUUGUUGGGCCGCGCAACACCCAUUAACUCCGCAUUAGUAUGAUAUUGUCCGCUUUGGGCUGUGGCCAAACCCGCACGGAUUUGCUUUCGGGCUCCUCCCAAAAAGCCUCAUACUAAUGGAGUUCUUUGGCUGCUUAUAUUCAAGAUAAAUCUUCUAUAUCUUUCCGAUGUGGCACUUGGGUUGAACCCACUCAACAAUAAUUCUCUUUCGCAUUAAUUUUCAAUCUCGUAUCCUUUUACUUCAUUGUCGUUUUUCAUUUCAACUGGUGAUCUCAAAUAUAUGUGAUUCAGAAAUAAAUAAUAGUCAGUAUAUAGUAUUGCUUUUCCUAAACCGUUCUAAAUACUUGCACAUUUUUUCAACAUUAUAAUCAUUAUUUUUUAUCAUGCUUGCUUUGCUUUCUAGAAUGUCGAAUGUAAGGUAACGUGACAGUCUAGUACUAUCGAAUGUCACGAACAACAAUCGAGAGCGCAAGGACUUGACGAUAUGACCAAUAUUAUAAGAUGUCCGCCACGUUCAGUUGCUUGACGAGAACUGAAUAUAUAUUUUAAAUAAAUCCGUUUUUCUUUGUUUAUGACUGAAUUAUUGCAGUAUUCUUUUAGACGACAGAGGCCCAUAAACUUGACUUGGACCGUUCAAAUUAACUAUAAGAUUCAAGAGAUAUUCUUGAUAUACUCCCUCUGUCCCUCUCAUUUCUUUACGGUUAUUUUGGGAUGUCCCUCUCAUUUCUUUACGUUAUUAUAAAUAAUAAGUUUUUCUCAUCAUUACACCCACUAUCUUCCUCUACUAUCUCAUAUUUAACAAUAAAAACUACUAUUACACCCACUACUUUCCUCCAUUAUCUCAAAUCUAUUAUUAAAUAUUGAUAGGUCCCACCACUUUACCCACUUUUCAUCUAACUUUACUCAUUUUUUAUACAUUGUCUUGGUCUCCGUGUUUUCCUCCAAUGUAAACAAUUGAAGGGGACGGAGGGAGUAUAUAAAUAAUUAUAUACUCUACGAAUUUUGUUUUUUAUAACAUGAUUUAAACAACAUGUUACUAUCGAAUGACAUGAACAACUGUAUAAAAUGCAGGACUUCCAAAAUUGAACGACUUUUUUGUCAAGUCAACAAUUGAAGGGUUAUUUCUAUCAUUAAAUAAUAAAUCCAAAAGAUUAUGUGGGUGUUUGGCAAACUCAACUUAUUGCUUAUUUGGAAGAGAAGUUGUUUCAACUUAUUUAUGUAGUGUUUGGCAAACACGUCGAAGUACUUAAAAUGGGGCUUAAAAGCCCCGAAAAAAAAGCUAGGAAACCUAGCUUUUUUUGGGUUUGAAGCUUAUUAUAGCAAAAUAAGUCACGAGUAUCCAAACACUUUUAAUAACUUAAAAGUUCAAACCAACUUUUCACUUAUAAUACACUUCUUUACUUUAAGCAAUAAGUCACUUCUUUUAAGUUUAGCCAAACGGCCCCUAUAACGCAUCCAUUGAAAGUCUGCAUAGUGCAUACACUUUUUUAUCCGUUAAGUAACAAAACUUCACAAUUUAAAUAAUAAAAUAUUAUCUGCUCAAAAUUUAUCGGUCAGCCAUUCAAAGUUAAUUUCACAACCAAGUAACGUAAGUAAUCGUCCUCACUAUUUACAAACACUCAGCUGAGACAUUCCCAGAUCCGGUAAAAUUGUCCUGAUUCGAGAAGCACACAUGAAAUAUAUGAUUUUAAAAAUCGUGUUUAUAAUCGAAUCAAAUAAUUAGAAAAUUUGUGACAAAAUAUAUAUUUUGAAAAUUAAUUAAUUAAUCCUGUCAAUAUGAUUUGAAACAAUAUCUUACCCAACAUGUCUAUAGAAUUGCAGGACAACUUAGAGCAUCUCUAUAUUCAGCUAAAUUUGAUUCAUAGAAUUAAGACAUUCCGUUUUAAUGAUAUAUUGAUUGAGUAUAUUUUAAAAUUAAUAUAUUAUUAAUAUUUUAAAUUAUUAUAAAUAAAAUAUUUCAUUUCAAUAUGGUAAUAAUCGACAUGAAACUUUCAUACUCAUUUCUUACAAAUAUGUAGAUAUUCGACAAAUAUAACCAAUAUUCGAAAGUUGAUUAUAUUUAUCGACAAGAAGAAUGUACAUUGGAGCUGAAUUUUUUUAUACAUAAUCUCUAUAUUUUUUAUUUAUACCAUGUAUUAGUGAUUUUUAAUGAAGGAUUCUACGUGAUUCAAGAUGUUCUUAAGUGGUUGUGCGGUAUUCCUACACACACACAUAACUGAUUUUUUUUUUUUUUUUUUUUUUUUUUUUUUNNNNNNNNNNNNNNNNNNNNNNNNNNNNNNNNNNNNNNNNNNNNNNNNNNNNNNNNNNNNNNNNNNNNNNNNNNGAUUUGUGAUCCAAUUGAAAGCUUUUUGAGUUGGAUGACCCAAGUGAAAAUUACUAUCGAGUUGAGUGACCUAAUUGCCAUUUAACCCGAAAAUAAAACAAGAGAAACAAAAAGAAUAUAAGUCGAUAUAUUUAACAGAUUACAUCAAAAUAUUCCCACAAUCAUGAUAACUCAUGAUUGAGACAAUUAAGCUCUUAAUUAAGGCAUCAUAAUAAAAUAUUAAUAUCCUUAAUUAAGACACAAUUAACGCCCUCAAAUAAGGCCCAAUUAACGCCCUCAAUAAAUAGGCACAAUUUACGCCCUCAAUAAUUGAGGCACAAUUUACGCCCUCAAUAAAGAGGCAUAAUUAACGAGGCACAAUUACCGCCCUCAAUUAAGACACAAUCAACGCACUUUCCUUUCUGAAACCGGAUCCGGAUCCCGUUCUGAAACCGCCGUCACCGCCACCAUCGGCCACCACCACUAUGCUAUCAAUCAAGGUGCCUCGUCGUAUGCGAAGCGAACAACGAAGCGUAUCACAUGUAACAUGAAAAAUCGCCAAAAACACCAAAAACCAAACGAAACACAGGGAUUAAACAAACAAACAAAUACACACAAACAAAUAAGAUUAAAAUCAACACCUUUCGUAAUUCCACUCAAAAUCGGCUAUAUGAAUAUUGAUAUGGAUAAAAAUAGAGAAGCAGAAGGAGAAAUGAAAAGCAGAGAAUGAAUGAAGAAAUUAAAGAACAAACCUUCUGCAUAAAUUGUAUGGUUAAAAUAGAGGAAGAAGCAUGGCGAUUCAUGUCACCAUCUUUUACAGGUAGAGAGAGUCCUUCACGGUGUCCAUUUGUGCUUCCUUCUGCCAUCGCUCUUGUUUCUCUUUGUUAAAUUUAGAUGUAUUCGCCCUUGAUAAGGGUAAAAUGAUCCAAAAGUCUCAGUUGCUCAGAUGAUUAUAUUUUUUCCGGUAGCAGUUGUUAAUUACCAAGUUCACGUAUAUAAGCACACUGAUAUACUAUAGAACAUGUAAAUAUACAUUCUUUUAUGCAUUAAGAGCAGAUCAUGUACGAGAAUUGCUUAGUAGAGAGUUGUUUAAAUUAACACCGACACACAAGGGGAUUCUAUAUUGAUCAUAUGCGUAAUGAUGCUAUUAUUUACAAAUAACCACGAGGUAAGCUCCUUUCUCUCUUCUUAGAAAUUGUUGUCUUUCUUUUUGCGAUGUGAUAUUUCAACCAAAUUACGAACAUUGUUGGGCUAUUGAGCACACAAGGAAAGUAAAGCAUUUUGGAAAAAAUAUGAUACUACUUCCAAAAGCACUUAAACAAGGAAAAAAGAACUUUUUUCACACAUAACUGAUUUGUUUGACAAUUAGAGCAUUUUCAAUUGGGUUAGUUAAAAUUGGUUGGCUAAAUGAGAUAUAUAAGAUAUUGUGUAAAAUUAAAAUUUGUUGAACCCAUAAAACAUUAUACUUCAAUGAUAAUGGCUGUAUUGAUUAGUUAUAUUUUGAAAAUAGUAUAUUAAUAAUAUUUUAGAUUGUUAUAAAUAAAAUAUAUCACUUCAAUUUCGUUAUAAAAUGGAUUUUUGUAAAAAAUUUCUCAUAGUUCUGUAGAGAUUGGACAAAUAUAACCAAUUAUAAAGAGAUUGAUAAUAUUCAUAGAUAAAGAAAAUGUUUGAGUGGUUUCAACCCAAGUCUCACGUCGGAAAGAUAAAGAAGAUUUUUCUUUAAUAUAAUCAGUUAAAGAGCUCUAUUGAGAGGCCUUUUUAAAGGAGCUCGAAAGCAAAUCUGUGCGGGUUUGGCAACGGCUCAGAGGCACAAUAUCAUAUUAAUGCGGAGUUAACAGGUGCAAUAUCAUAUUAAUGCGGAGUUAACAGGUGCUGCGCGACCCAACAAGUGGUAUGCGGGCAAGGUUAAGAAGUUGAGCCUGGAAUUUAUUUUAUUUUUAUGAUUUAUUCGACAAUCGUCAGAUUUGACAUUCAAAUGAUUAGCUCAUCAAAUAUUUAUUUAUUUAUUUAUUAUUAUUAUUAUUAUUAUUCUGAUAAUUUAAAAAUCAUUUAUAUAAUAAAAACAUUCAAACUAAUAAUAUAAAUUAUACAAUUAUCAUAUUAAACAAUUAUAAGACAUAUUUGGUUAUUUUAACUUUAGGCUUUAGCCAAACCUGCUCUAUGACUGACAUCCAUGAAAGAUAUACAUGUAGCAAACAAAAUCACAUCAUCCUCACAUUCAUCUGCUCCGAUCUCCGGAUGAAUUACAUUUUUCUUGAUUUAAGUAUAUAUUAUUCCCUCCACCCCUCAUUUGUUUACAUUGAGGGACGGGAGCUCGGUACGCAUUUUAAUACUCUCUUAAAACGUAGUUAGAUAAAUUAUUUUGAACUUUUUUCCCUUCUCAAUAAAAAUUUGAUGUCUAAAUUUUUAUAAAAAAAAGAAAAAUUUUAAAAAUAAGUUACAAAACUAUAUUUUACCUGCGCCUUAAAAUGCAUGUCGAUCGGUGUGAAAAAACGGUAAAGAGACCGGAUUUAAUUUAUAACAGCAAUCACAGUACAACGUAAGAGAACUGAAACAUGAACAGAAACCAACUUAAAGCAUUACACAGUACCAGACGACACUCAGAUUUGAGCAUUUUUACUCAAAACUUAUUGUUAUACCAAUAUAUUCCUUUGUUCUUCUCAUCUUCCUCAACGUAGACACAAUCUUUCAGAGUAGUCCACAGUGACUUAUAGAAUGGGGUAAAAUCAUACUGAUAGUAGUCUCCCAACACUGGUUUAAAUGCUUUGGUGGCUUCCACUGCAUGGUAGUGUGGCAUCUUCGGGAAGAGAUGGUGCGCUACGUGAGUAUUCGGUUGCUGAUGAAACACCGUGUUGAGAAUUCCGAAAUCUCUGUCAAUGGUGGCCAUGGAUCCCUUUAGCCAUUCCCACUCGGAGUGAUCAUAGUAAGGUACGAGAGGGUUCGUGUGUUGAAGUACUGCAACUAUGAUAAGCAUAGCGUUUGUGAAAAGGUAAGGUCCUCCGUAGAUGAAAGCAGCCCAUGCGAACCCUUUCAACAUAGCAGCUUUGUAUACUGCAUAGAUGACUGCAAAACAUCCAGCAUCCGAAAGUAAGACGAGAGCCCGUUGUCUUGAUGAAAACAUGGGACUGUAUGGGUCAAAAUGGGAGGCAAAUCGGUCAUAAGUUCGACCACGGAAGUUGACAAGCAAGUAUAGAGGCACCGCUACAACCAAAACUAAGGCAAUAACGAAAAGUCUUGCGACAGGAUUACUGAGGUAUUUAAACACGAAUGAAACUUGAGACUUUAGAAGAGGGAUAUCAAACUCUUCUUCUUCUAGGGAUCCAGUUCGCGAGUGGUGGCGAUGGUGACUGAAUUUGAAAGAGAAGUAAGGAAAGAGGACGACAGAGUGGGUGAUGAAUCCGACUGUGUCGUCGAGCCAUUGGUACUCACUGAAAGCGUUGUGUCCGCAUUCGUGACCUAUGACCCAAAAUCGAGCUAGAAUCAGACCUUGAAGCACCGAAUAUAUAAUCCCGGCUGUAACAAGAUAUAAUUUAGAAGACUGAAAGAAUUCAGAAGCUAAGAUAUAGUUUGCGGCGAUGUGGUAAAGAGAAAAUAAGAUGAUGACAUCGAAGACAAGGUAUGACAAAGAGCGAAUCGCCGAACGCUCAAAGCAAUGAGGCGGAACUGCUUUCUUAACAUCGCUUAGAGUGAAGGGAGGUUUCACGUAAGGAGAUCUCGAAGCUCUUUUCACGGGAGGAUUCGAUUUUUGUACCAUGUUUCUCUGCGAAGAUUGAAGAAGAUAGUAAUUAGUUAAAACGUUUACUUGAUUUGAUAACAACUUAAAAAACAGUAAAUUUAUGAGAAUCGCAGAAGAGUACCUUGGCUUGGAUGCACCUCUGAGAAUUUUGUUGUGACAAUUGCAUAGGAAGCAGUAGGUACAUAUAGGCAGAUCAAAAUUACCAACUCCAGUCCUGAUUGGCUGAUUAAAAUAGAGGUCAGGUGUCUAGCUAGGUUGUCAUAUGUGUUCUGGACGCCCCCUCACGAUGUUACAUUCUCUUUUCAUUCUUCUCUUUCCUAGUUUAAUAAUCCUUUUCAAAAUAUGUGCUCCCUUCGUCUUAUUUUAUCUCAUUACAUAUAUAAUAAAAAAAUCUUUUUCGAUGUCCUAAAAAAAACUAUCUUUUAUAUAAUAUUUAUUUAAGAUAUUCGUUAUAAUCACACGUUCAUAAAUUACCUCGAUCGCUAACUCUUUUACAUGAUUAAGGUUAAGUUAGAUAUUCAUUUUCCUAAAAAUCGUAUCAAUCAUCAAUAUACUUAUAUAAAGGAGAAGCGAGGCGUGUGUAGGUGGCACAUCUCAUAUCGCUCCGUUCUAUUUUUCUAAUUUUCUGCAAUUUUUAGAUGAAAAAUACCAAAAAUUAGAACUACUUUUUUUAGUUUCGGAUUUAUUAGAAGCAAGUUUUAGAAUCUGAUUUUGUUUCAGAUUUUCAGAUUAUUUAUGGAAUAUAGUAGUUUGAAAGUUUUAAUUUGAUUUUAUUUCUAUAUAAUCUGAUUUUGUUUCAGAUUAUUUAUGGAAUAUAGUAGCUUGAAAGUUUUAAUUUGAUUUUGUUUCUAUAUAAAGGAGGAGCGAGGGGUGUGUAGGUGUCGCCUCUCACAUCGCUCCGUUUUAUUUUUCUAAUUUUCUGAAAUUUUCAGAUGAAAAAUAUCAAAAAUUAGAACUGCUUUUUUUAGUUUCGGAUAUAUUAGAAGCAAGUUUCAGAAUCUGAUUUUGUUUCAAAUUAUUUAUGGAAUAUAGCUGCUUGAAAGUUUUAAUCUGAUUUUGUUUCAGAUUAUUUAAUUAUGAGAAAGAGUAGCACACAAGUCUCUCUCUGCACCUAUAAAUACCCCUGUAGGUUGUAGGGCUUUGGAUCAUCUUAACACAACCUUCUCUCUCGGUAUCACAACCCUAACUCUCUCUGGUGAUAGUUCUAUUGCUCGAUUUCUAACUCGGUGUUGCCGUUCUUCUGGUGAAGGCUGUUUAUACAGUAUUAAAAAAAAUAAAGGUUGUUGUAAGCAAAGGUAGUUAUCUACGUGGGAGUCGACAAAUCCAAACACGGGAGAAGAAUAUAGUCUUGACAUGAUAUUGAUGGAUGAUAUCAAUAAAUUAACUAUUAGUGAUGUAUGUUUGUUUGUUAUUCUUUUAUAAAAUUUGUUUUGUUCAUCGGACAUGUUUGUUGUUGUUAAUUUUUUAUAUGAUUUACUUUGCAUACAAGAAAAUAUUAUUCAUGCAUUAUCUGUUUGCUCAGUUCAAACAACUUUUAAGUGAAGACUGUUCAUACAGUAUUAAAAAAUAAAGGUUGUUGCAAGUAAGGGUAGUUAUAGACCGCUAUCGCACGGAUUUAAGUUAGAUGUUUUUGUGCACAAUCAAUCCAAAAAAAUUGGAGGAAGGUGAUAAUGUAAGAACAUGAUUACUUUAAAAAAAAACACAAAUAAAAUUAAGAUUUGUCGUGCUUUAAAUUGUUAAUUACGUGUAGAAAUUUAUUUUCAUAUUUUCAACAUGAAUUAUAGGCCACAAAAUAUAUUAAUAUAUUUUUUAUAUACAGCCACAAAAUUAUUGCAUUCUACAAAUAUUAAUAUUAGAUCGUUAAUAUAAUUUUUAUAGGCCGCCGCAACGCGCGGCUUCUCAACUAGUUAAAAAAGUUGACAAAAACCAACAGGUAAAAGAAGACGAGGCCAAUCUGAAGAAUUUAAAGGCCGAUGCAAAAUGAUCCAACAGGCUUUUCUUCAAAAUAUUAUUAAAAAUAGUAAAACGAAAACUAACUUUUCUUGAAGUUUGAACUUAAAUGCAUCUGACCACGACUAGCAAACAUCAUUUUGCCCCGUUCAAGCACUACAAAAUCAUGAAACUGUCAGAAUAUACAAACUCUAUAUAUUGUUGAAAGAAUACAAUCAAGAAUAUUUUAACGAUUAACUUUGUUCAUUAACUACUCCCUCCGUCUCAAUUUAUAUGACCCUUAUUUUUUUUGGGACGUCUCAAAAAAAAUAAUCCAUCAUAUUUACUAUUUUUGAACACUACUUUUCACUAUUACAUCCACUACUUUCUUCCACUAUUUCAAUUCUAUAAUAAUAUAAACACUAUUAUAUCCACUACCUUCCUCCACUAUCUCAAAUUAUUAUUAAAUAUUGAUAGGUCCCAUCAUUUUACCUACUCUUCAACUAAACUUACUAUUUUUUUUUAAUCUCUGUAAGAGUCAAACCGGCUCACUCAAUAUGGGACGGAUGGAGUAUAAUUGAGACUUUGAUAAACUCACUGUAAUAUUAAAGAAACUAGAUGGUACAAGAUUCUGCGAUGAAACUAGUUGGAAAGAUUUAGGUAUUCUUAGAUUACUUUGAAAGAGUUAACCGCUUUAUUUCAAAUGCAAAGAGUACUUUGUCCAACUUUCUUUCCUUCACAGAUUAACAAUGCAAGGAGAAUUGAUAAUAUCACGAGAACACAAAAUUGAUAACACUAUCUUACACAUAUAUAUUUUUUUUGGAAAAAUUUUUAAAACUGAAUUCCGGGUAUGGAAUAUCCUACUAGACCCAAUAUCAAUGUAUUUUAUAUAUAAUUAAACUUGUAUUUAAAUAUAAAUGUUCACAUUAUCAAGUCCGGUAUAAUCAGAACCACCUAAAAUAGAAUAUAAUAUUAUAAUAAUUGAUAAAAAAAAUUUGUGACAAAUAUACAUAUAAAAAAAGGUUAUUAUUAAUAUUUAGAACAAAACUAAUGUAAAGACUUAAUAUCUGUAAUCAUCUUCCAUAAUUUUUUAAUUCCACGUGUUUGUUAAAAAUAGGCAAUUAAAUUGCAUGUUAUCAUCUUGUUACCCUAAUUUCAUAGUUUAGUCCCCCACUUGUUACUAGCUCCAGUAGCUUCCGUGCACUUAUAUAGGCAAUUUAUUUAUUUAUUUAGAAUGGACCCGGAUAUAUCUUAUAAAUAUAAGUUUAGUUAACCACUUAGAUUGUCCUUUCUCAUGACCCCUUCUCUAAAUACCUCGUUACAUGUUAAGAUCAUUUCUAAAGUAGUAUAGUAUAUAAAUAUUUAACAGAUCGACCAAAUCUGUAUGCACAUGGUGUAAAAAUAUAUUUUAUAAAUUAAUAAAUAUAUAUUACAGUAAAAAUCUCAUUUAAAUAAAAUGCAAAUUACGAAGAUUUAAGCAAAAUUAUAUAGUGGACAUAUAUAAAGCUUGUCGGAAUGGUUUGAGGCACAUGAGUCCAUGACCUUGACCGGCGGUUUUCCUAUAAUUAUUCAACUAACGCAUUUGUUUAUAUAAGAAUAUCUUUUGCAUUUUAAUACAAAUUAAUUAAUAAACAAAAAAAGAUGCUUUAAUAGUAAUUAUAUAUCAUGCGAUUUCGAUGCAUGGUUAAUUAUUAAACUGUCGACUAACUUAGAAUUAUGCAUUUCUGUCAACAGCAGAAUAAUAAAAAAUUGCAAUUAUGAAUUGUUUUGUUCUAAUCGAUAUGCAUGCUUCGAAUAAAUUAUCAGUCGCCCUCAUCUUGGACCUUUGUUUUUGUUUGCAUGUGUCCAAGGGGAAUAAACAUUAUUCUCAGAAUUGAAUACGAGUACAAUACUACACUCACGUUUUCCCAGCUGGGCAGUUGAAACCAGCUUGAACAGAUCCGCAGAAACUAAAUUUUAUUUAGUAAACAGAGGCGGUAAUUCAAACUUCUGCGACUUCCGCCCCUAUUAUAAUCUGCAUCAAAAGCAUAGGUUAAAUUUUUAAAUAGAUUAUUAUAAUUUGUAGAGUUAAUUAUAGUUUGUAACCUCUAAGUUUGCUCCAAACGCAGUUAGUACAUGAACUUUAAAACGUGACAAUAUGCACCGUAAAUUUAACAUUCUCGUCAUCUCGUGCAAGUUGUAACCCCUAGUCACUAUUUUGUCCAACUCUGCCGUUAACUUUAACUGUUUGAGAGAUAGCAGUGUGUAUAUUAGUUUCUAACAGCUACUUUACACCUUGUGACCCCUCAAACUUUAUGUAUUAUAUUUUGAAAUUAUUACUGAACACACACAAUGAUGUAAAAAAAAUUAAAAUAAUUUUUAAAAUAUGUAUUUAUUUUAAAAUUUUAAAAUAAGUUACAUCGUUUAUGUAAAAAAUAAAUAAAUUUUUAGAUUCUAAAUCUAGAUAUAUGUUUUAAAAAUUAUUUUAAAUUUUUUACAUCGUUGUGUGUGUUCAGAAAUAAUUUCAAAAUAUAAUACAUGAUUUUUGAGGGGUCACAGGGGGUAAAGUAGCUAUUAAAAACUAAUAUACACACUGUUAUCUAUCAAACAGUUAAAGUUAACGGCAGAUUUGGACGGAAUAGUGACUAGGGGUUACAACUUGCACCAGAAUGUUAAGUGUAAGAUGCAUAUUGGCACGUUCUAAAGUUCAGGUACUAAACUGCGUUUGGAGCAAACCUAAGGGUUACAAACUGUAAUUAACUUUAAUUUGUAACUCUUAAGUUUGGUUCAUUGACAAAUGAGUACCAAUAUUUUAAAACGUAAUUUUUGACAAUCCAAAAUUCAUAUUGUGUUGCAGUUUGUAACUCUUCCGUUAAUUUUUUUUAUUAAAGUUAGAUAGAGAUGUUAGUUCAAAGACGUUUUCGUACUUAGAUAAUGUAGUUUUUUAUUUUUAUCAAAAAAAUUAUCUAAAUAUGAUUAUAAAUAUUAAAUGAGAAAUUUAUUUAUGGUUUAACACUAGUAUACGUAAUUUAUAGUUUACAUUUGUUUUUUGAAAUUUAUUGAUAUGUACAAAAAUUAUUUAUUUUAUCAAGCACACAUUUAUCUUUUAUAUAAGCUUGUCGUCGUAGAAACAAGAAAGAAGUAAUUAAAUUAUUUUUAUUUAUAAAUAUCUUUACCAAUUUUGUAUAUGCCAAAUUCUGGCCAACACCAGGGUCGGGAGAAUUUUAUUUGACGGAAAAGGUCCGCUAUAUUCGGUUGGGUCGAUUAAAUACUAACACAUCAUCAAUAAGUAAGGCGGUUUGUUUGGUUUGGAAGAAUUCACAUCACCAAAUUUUAUAACUGCAGUCAUAGUACAACGCGAGUAAAUUAAAAACAUGAUCGAAACCAAGUAAAAGCAUUACAAACUCCCGGGAAGUAAAAUUUUAACCGCUAUUUUGUUUAGUCAAAUAGCUCACACAGUGCCUGACGCUCAAAACUUAUUGUUAUACCAGUAUACUCCUUUGUUCUUCUCAUCUUCCUCGACGUAGACGCAAUCAUUAAGAGUAGUCCACAGUGACUUAUAGAAUGGGGUAAAAUCAUACUGAUAGUAGUCCCCCAAUAUUGGCUUAAAUGCUUUGGUGGCUUCCACUGCAUGGUAAUGUGGCAUUUUGGGGAAGAGAUGGUGCGCUACGUGAGUAUUCGGUUGCUGAUGAAACACCGUGUUGAGAAUUCCGAAAUCUCUGUCAAUGGUGGCCAUGGAUCCCUUUAGCCAUUCCCACUCGGAGUGAUCAUAGUAAGGUACCAGAGGGUUCGUGUGUUGAAGUACGGCCACUAUGAUAAGCAUGGCGUUUGUGAAAAGGUAUGGUCCUCCGUAGAUGAAAGCGGCCGAUGCGAACCCUUUUAACAUAGCAAGUUUGUAAACUGCAUAGAUCACGGCAAAACAUCCAGCAUCGG